CCAGACUCCUACGGGAGGCAGCAGUGGGGAAUAUUGCACAAUGGGCGCAAGCCUGAUGCAGCGACGCCGCGUGGGGGAUGACGGCCUUCGGGUUGUAAACUCCUUUCGCUAGGGAAGAAGCCAUUUUGUGGUGACGGUACCUGGAUAAGAAGCACCGGCUAACUACGUGCCAGCAGCCGCGGUAAUACGUAGGGUGCGAGCGUUGUCCGGAAUUACUGGGCGUAAAGAGCUCGUAGGUGGUUUGUCGCGUCGUCUGUGAAAUCCCGGGGCUUAACUUCGGGCGUGCAGGCGAUACGGGCAUAACUAGAGUGCUGUAGGGGAGACUGGAAUUCCUGGUGUAGCGGUGAAAUGCGCAGAUAUCAGGAGGAACACCGAUGGCGAAGGCAGGUCUCUGGGCAGUUACUGACGCUGAGGAGCGAAAGCAUGGGUAGCGAACAGGAUUAGAUACCCUGGUAGUCCAUGCCGUAAACGGUGGGCGCUAGGUGUGGGGGUUUUAUUUACGAUUCCCGUGCCGUAGCUAACGCAUUAAGCGCCCCGCCUGGGGAGUACGGCCGCAAGGCUAAAACUCAAAGGAAUUGACGGGGGCCCGCACAAG
rnacentral:rRNA from 1 species